CAGUCGCCGCGGUAACACGAAGGGGGCUAGCGUUGUUCGGAAUUACUGGGCGUAAAGCGCACGUAGGCGGACAUUUAAGUCAGGGGUGAAAUCCCGGGGCUCAACCCCGGAACUGCCUUUGAUACUGGGUGUCUAGAGUAUGGAAGAGGUGAGUGGAAUUCCGAGUGUAGAGGUGAAAUUCGUAGAUAUUCGGAGGAACACCAGUGGCGAAGGCGGCUCACUGGUCCAUUACUGACGCUGAGGUGCGAAAGCGUGGGGAGCAAACAGGAUUAGAUACCCGGGUAGUCCCUGUCUCUUAUAC
rnacentral:rRNA from 1 species